GUCCCCCUUCGGGGGACAGGGUGACAGGUGGUGCAUGGUUGUCGUCAGCUCGUGUCGUGAGAUGUUGGGUUAAGUCCCGCAACGAGCGCAACCCUCGACCUUAGUUGCCAGCAUUCAGUUGGGCACUCUAAGGUGACUGCCGGCUAAAAGUCGGAGGAAGGUGGGGAUGACGUCAAAUCAUCAUGCCCCUUAUGACCUGGGCUACACACGUGCUACAAUGGGCGGUACAAAGGGUCGCGAACCCGCGAGGGGGAGCCAAUCCCAAAAAGCCGCUCUCAGUUCGGAUUGCAGGCUGCAACUCGCCUGCAUGGAGCCGGAAUCGCUAGUAAUCGCGGAUCAGCACGCCGCGGUGAAUACGUUCCCGGGCCUU
rnacentral:rRNA from 1 species